rnacentral:lncRNA from 1 species
UGUGUGAAUUCUUCAAGUAGGGUGAUCUUCUCUACCUUCCCCCUUUCUCCUCAAUCCCACAGGCUUGAAACUUCUAAGGAGAAGUUUCCACAGUGCCGAUCAUUGGUAUCUACAUGAAGGAGUCUACACGCUGGCAUGCUAAGGAAGUCAGCCCAGCACAAAUUCAGCCAUGAUCCUGACACUACCCUGACCGCCUAGCCCACCACCGAGUGUGAAGUCAAUUUUUUGGAGCACAUCCAGCAAAUUGUUUUUGGCACAGUUCCUGAAUCAGCAGCAGGAUGCUGUCCCUGACAUCUGGAACACCCAUCUGAAAUUCGAGCGAAUAGUUCUGAAAUCAAGUGAGGCCUCUCUGCCAAUUAAAGAUGCAGACUUUCAUAGCCAGCACAUACAUCUGCCUCCUCAACAGUCAUCGCAACGGUUGUCUGUGCCUGCCAGGUCUCUCAUACUGCUCUAAUGGAAGAGAUUACAACAGCUGUCAUGAUGGAUGGCUUCAAAUUCUGGAUUAUUCUCUCCAUCUUACAGGCUAAAAUGAGCCUUACAAAAGGCUCAUCACCUGCCCAAGGUCAUACAGCUCAAGAAUUUGAAAGUGGGAUUCCAUAGAGUAUCCUUGUGCACUGUUAUUGCUUGGCUAGCAACAAAAUGUCUAGACAGACACCGACCCUCAACUGCAACCCAAGCUCUCUCCCUUAUGCUGUUGCCUCUCAUUUCCAUAAACACCUUCAUUUUCUGACCUCCUUGCUUCCAAUUUGUCAGUCCUCACCAAGGUGCUUCUUCAAUUCCAGCCCUGCUUGAUCACACCCACAGGCUUCCUUGCUUACAUCUCCCCUUGCUAUUUAUCCCACCAAGUCAUAUAGAGAUGCUAGCUGUGCUGGAUAAUUUUAUGCCAACUUGACACAGGCUAGAGUUAUCAAAGAGGAGGGAACCCCGAUUGAGAAAAUGCCUCCUCUCCAUAAGAUUAGGCUGUAGGCAAGCCUAUAGGGCAUUUUCUUAAUUC